rnacentral:lncRNA from 10 species
UUUUCAUAAAAUGUUUAAUAUAUUUUUCAAUAGAAGAAAGACAAAUAAUUAUUGAAGCAGAUGACUUUUAUAAACAUUAAAUUAUAGAAUUUUAAAUUAUUUUUACUUCCAGAACUUGAAAAAUCUUAAAAGGCAAAAAUUUUACAUCCAGUAAUCCUUUAUCCUAUUCUGUAAAGACCUCCUACUGUGCUUUACUAUUCUAAGUGAUUUGCUGUCACAACAUUAUUUAGGAAAUUAAAAGACAGACAUGAGUUUUUUUCACAUUUUUUAGAGGGAUGGAAUGUUACUACAUUGCUGAGGCUGGUCUUGAACUGGCUUCAAACAAUCCUCCUGCCUCUGCCUCCCUAGUAGCUGGGAUGACAGGUGCAACCCACUGUGCCUAGUGAGACAGAAGUGAAUUUAAAUACUAGAACAAAGGCAUAGAAAGACUUGCAAUAUAUAGUUUCAAUAAUCUGCAAAAUCUUCCUCUAAGCGUAUAUUUACAUUAUUGAUGGGAAUAUUUUCUUCUCAUAUCUAAUCCUUGCCUAUCUAUGAGUUAUUAUUCACAUAUGUAUAAUCAAUUGUAAAAGACAAAAUAAAACUUUAAGGACUCAGACUAUUGUAUCCCAUGUCUUCAUAAUAACGUCGAUGUUAAAAAUAGUAAUCAGAACAAUAAAUUAUAUCAUA